rnacentral:rRNA from 1 species
AGAGUUUGAUCCUGGCUCAGAACGAACGCUGGCGGCAGGCUUAACACAUGCAAGUCGAACGCACCGCAAGGUGAGUGGCAGACGGGUGAGUAACGCGUGGGAACGUGCCCUUCAGUUCGGGAUAACCCAGGGAAACUUGGGCUAAUACCGGAUACGUGCGAGAGCAGAAAGAUUUAUCGCUGAAGGAUCGGCCCGCGUCUGAUUAGCUAGUUGGUGGGGUAAUGGCCCACCAAGGCGACGAUCAGUAGCUGGUCUGAGAGGAUGAUCAGCCACAUUGGGACUGAGACACGGCCCAAACUCCUACGGGAGGCAGCAGUGGGGAAUAUUGGACAAUGGGCGCAAGCCUGAUCCAGCCAUGCCGCGUGAGUGAUGAAGGCCUUAGGGUUGUAAAGCUCUUUCGUCCGGGACGAUAAUGACGGUACCGGAAGAAGAAGCCCCGGCUAACUUCGUGCCAGCAGCCGCGGUAAUACGAAGGGGGCUAGCGUUGUUCGGAAUCACUGGGCGUAAAGGGCGCGUAGGCGGCCUGAUAAGUCGGGGGUGAAAGCCUGUGGCUCAACCACAGAAUUGCCUUUGAUACUGUCGGGCUUGAGACCGGAAGAGGUAAGUGGAACUGCGAGUGUAGAGGUGAAAUUCGUAGAUAUUCGCAAGAACACCAGUGGCGAAGGCGGCUUACUGGUCCGGUUCUGAGCUGAGGCGCGAAAGCGUGGGGAGCAAACAGGAUUAGAUACCCUAGUAGUCC